CUCCUCCUCCCGCGGAGAGCAGUGAGGAAGGCUCUGUGCCCUUCUGGCGCUCACAGGCUGCAGGCAAUGACAGAUUAAAGUCUGAGUAUCAGAUACAACUCUUGUUUCAGCUAACGGAAACCAACUUGUUAGUGUGAUCUCAGAAGCCAUGACUUUUUAAGAUUUUAUUUAUUCGUGAGAGAGGCAGAGAGAGAGAGGCAGAGACACAGGCAAAGGGAGAAACAGGUUCCAUGUUUUGGAGCCUGAUGUGGGACUUGAUCCCAGGACUUCAGGAUCACACCCUGGGCCAAAGGCAGGCACUAAACCACUGAGCCACCCAGGGAUCCCAGAAGCCAUGGCUUUAGAGCCAGAGAAAGUCAGAAGGCUGUUGUGGAUCCCAUUAGAUAUUGUGAACCCACCAAACAGAAAGACCAUGAAACCGACUGGGGCUAGAAUCAGGCGGUAAAUGGAUUAGCUGAGGUUGCAGAUUGACAGCCGACUGGGGAAUCAUGCGGUCACUGCCAAAUUCAGAGGUGUUGAUUCUGACUGUAGAAGCAAGGUGAGGAAAAAACUUGACAAGGAAGCUGCAAACACAACUCCCCAUCUUUGGAUACCGUCGAGUUAUCUUUGUCAAGGCUUCACGUGGCAGCUUCACCCCAUCAUCUCCCAGGCAAGGGCAUGACUUCAGAUAAAGAUGUGGAGAUUCUGGUUUGUUUAAGAUUUAUUUAAUUUCUUUGGGAGAGAGACAGUGAGCCGAGUGCACAAGUUUGGGGGACGGGCAGAGGAAGAGAGAACAUCCACAGGCAGACUCCCUGUUGAGCGCAGAGCCUGACAUGGGGCUCGAUCUCACCACCUGGGCUGAAACCAAGAGGGGGCCACUUAACUGACUGAACCACCCAGGCACCCCCAGAUUCUGGUUUUGAUCUGCCAACCACGUAGGAUAAAUCAAUAACAUGAUUAAGGCCACUAUUAUAUAGGUCCAUUAUACCUCAGUAAGGCUGAAGUUAAAAAAAAAAAAAAAGCCCAUUCCCCAAAACAGCCCUG